rnacentral:sRNA from 1 species
AUGUUAGGACGAAGGGGAAGGAGGAGAAGCGCUUAAAGCGGCGGGAGCGGUGCGGGAGAGGGGUUGGACCCAGGGCUGAGGCAGGCCCCCCCCUCCCUCCCGCCUCAGUGGAUCAUGCCCAGGGCGGCAGCGGCGGCGGUUGCGGGGGGGAAGUGACUGGGCGGUGCCGGCGCCGGAGACGAUGCCGUUUCCAGUUACAACACAGGGAUCACAACAAACACAACCGCCACAGAAGCACUAUGGCAUUACUUCUCCUAUCAGCUUAGCAGCCCCCAAGGAGACUGACUGCGUACUUACACAGAAACUAAUUGAGACAUUGAAACCCUUUGGGGUUUUUGAAGAGGAAGAGGAACUGCAGCGCAGGAUUUUAAUUUUGGGAAAACUAAAUAACCUGGUAAAAGAGUGGAUACGAGAAAUCAGUGAAAGCAAGGUGCUGAUAUUGAUGCGUUGUGUGUUGCACCAAGACAUGUUGAUCGAAGUGACUUUUUCACCUCAUUCUAUGAUAAGUUGAAAUUACAGGAAGAAGUAAAAGAUUUAAGAGCUGUUGAAGAGGCAUUCGUACCAGUUAUUAAACUCUGUUUUGAUGGGAUAGAGAUUGAUAUUUUGUUUGCAAGAUUAGCACUGCAGACAAUUCCAGAAGAUUUGGAUCUACGAGAUGACAGUCUGCUUAAAAAUUUAGAUAUAAGAUGUAUAAGAAGUCUUAACGGUAUGAGAAAGCCUACUUCCUUUUGUAUACUUCAGAUUUGUCAGAUAUUAGUUAUUUUUACACAAGUUUUAUAUUGAAGCUUUUUAUAGCUAUAUUGUUAACACAGUAGUGAGUUAAAUAAAAUGAACUUUGCCUAAUAAA